rnacentral:lncRNA from 1 species
CUGGAUAGGAGAUUCGGCAUCAGCUAAUAGCUUGGCAUAGCUGUCAACGGGGGUGGCGCAAGUCUUACAAUAAGACAUAUUAGUACGCUUCAGAAUGUCCAGGGUGUACAGAUGCUGAGACAAACAUACCGCUAGCGGUGCGUUGAACAUGAACACCAAGAAUGUGAUGAAGAUUACCCAAAUCUGACAUAGAAAACUCCCACUGC